UGCAGUCGAGCGCGCCCUUCGGGGUGAGCGGCGGACGGGUGAGUAACGCGUGGGAAUAUGCCCUUCUCUAAGGAAUAGCCUCUGGAAACGGAGAGUAAUACCUUAUACGCCCUUUGGGGGAAAGAUUUAUCGGAGAAGGAUUAGCCCGCGUUAGAUUAGGUAGUUGGUGGGGUAAUGGCCUACCAAGCCUACGAUCUAUAGCUGGUUUGAGAGGAUGAUCAGCCACACUGGGACUGAGACACGGCCCAGACUCCUACGGGAGGCAGCAGUAGGGAAUCUUAGACAAUGGGGGCAACCCUGAUCUAGCCAUGCCGCGUGUGUGAUGAAGGCCCUAGGGUCGUAAAGCACUUUCGCCAGAGAUGAUAAUGACAGUAUCUGGUAAAGAAACCCCGGCUAACUCCGUGCCAGCAGCCGCGGUAAUACGGAGGGGGUUAGCGUUGUUCGGAAUUACUGGGCGUAAAGCGCACGUAGGCGGAUUAGUAAGUUAGAGGUGAAAUCCCAGGGCUCAACCCUGGAACUGCCUUUAAUACUGCUAGUCUUGAGUUCGAGAGAGGUAAGUGGAAUUCCGAGUGUAGAGGUG
rnacentral:rRNA from 1 species